CAGAAUAUAGCUUAAAUAAAGCAUUUUGCUUACACCAAAAAAAUAUCUAUACACAGAUUAUUCUG
rnacentral:tRNA from 3 species